GAUAUCAUAAUUAGGCUAGGACCUAAUUAAUUAGUUUGUUAUAACUAAUUCUUAAGUGAGUUAGGAUUGAAUCCAAGAAUUAGUUAGAGUUGGAACAAAAUUCAUGAGUCCUAUUUGGAAUAGGGCUAAACCAAUUCCUAAACCUAAUCUAUUUAAUGAUUCCUCACACCCCAACUCUCUUCACGUUGAGAUCUCACACCCC
rnacentral:lncRNA from 1 species